UACGAAGGGAGCUAGCGUUGUUCGGAAUCACUGGGCGUAAAGCGCACGUAGGCGGAUGUGUCAGUCAGGGGUGAAAUCCCGGAGCUCAACUUCGGAACUGCCUUUGAUACAGCACGUCUUGAGUCCGAUAGAGGUGGGUGGAACUGCGAGUGUAGAGGUGAAAUUCGAUAGAUAUUCGCAAGAACACCAGUGGCGAAGGCGGCUCACUGGCCCGGUACUGACGCUGAGACGCGAAAGCGUGGGGAGCCGAACAGG
rnacentral:rRNA from 1 species